rnacentral:miRNA from 1 species
GUGGGGGGGGAGGCUAGGUUAG